UCCACAUCUUUUCUUUCCAGAAUUGAAUGGCUUAGAUCGUCCUUGAUUAUCAAUUUCUUGUUCUUCCUCCAUUAUUAGAUUUGCAGGAUAUCCUCCAUUGAAUUAUGCUUCAUUGCUUAACAAUUCGAUGUUGUUGCUGGAUUUAUUUUCUCCCACCACCAUCAGUCUUUGUCGAGCGGCAAUGUAUGCGUGAUUGAGAGAGAUAAACGAAGGCAAGGGACUGGGAAAGGGAGGAGCUAAGAGACCCACGAAGGUGCUGGGAGUUGGCUGUGGGAUUGUAGAUCCUGGCUUGUCUUUAACCUAUGGAUCUUGGUUUUAGAUCUGGGUGUUCUUUGUUCUUUUUUAAAGUUUUAUGUUUUGUACUUCUAUAUUUGAAAUCUUUAUCUCAAAGACACUUCUUGAAAUUUCUUAAAUAUUAUUAAUUAUUGACAAAACUUUUCUUGUUUACUUAGGAAAUUUCUUUUUAUUAAAGAGAACUUAUUAAAUAUACAUAAAUCAUUCAUCUUUUUAAUUCUCGCAAUAAUACUGAUUUGUAUAAUUAAAUAAAACAAGUCCAAAUUUUAAAAUUUUUUAUAAAAAAUUUCAAAAGGGUAUGGAUUUGAAAGUAUAUGUAUAUUCUUUUCAAUAAGCAUUUUGCUUUUCUAAUUUAUGAUUUCUUUCUUAUUUUUAUAAUAAUGUAAUUCUUUAAGUUUUUUAUUUUAUAUGAACGUAUAAUAAAAUAUCUUUAGCCCACGUUUUGAUCCAAGUUGGGAAUGGCAGCACAAAGGAAUUCCAUUAGUCCAUGUCAACUAGUUUAACGUUUGUUAGUGGCUUCUGUAACAGAAGGGCUUUUAUGAAUGAGUUUCGAAAAUAAAGGUUCAUAAUAGGAGCAAAAGAAAUUAAGAGCUCAAGUGGUCCUCAGGAUAUAGUUGGGAGGCCUACAUGUAUCUUUUUCCUAUAUUUUUUAUUUUUUAUAAUUAUUUUUAGCAUUCAAUUAAUAUUUUUAUAAGAGAAUAUGGCACUUUUAUUUCAUUUAUAGUACCA
rnacentral:lncRNA from 1 species